GCCCCCCCAUCCCCUCCCCGCUGCCUCUCACCCAAUUUCCCCUGUUUUAUUAAAAAAAGAAAUACCACUUGCGCCAAGUCUAGAAUCUUUAAAGAGAACUGAUGGGUGGCGACUUUCUGGGUUGUUUGUAUGUUGUCUUAGGUGAGACUGAGACAGGCAGUCUUAGUAAAGUGUAAUUUUUCAGGAGAUGCUACCGCUAAUGUAGUAAGCUAAUAUGGCUGCCUUGUAUGCUUCAAAGAGGGGCUGUGAACACUUCCGACAUUAAUUAUAACCACAACCCCAUUCUGUUCAGCUACUGUAUUGUUCAGGUGACUUCAUUUAUGAAUUGAUUAAGAAAUUUGUUGUCAUCACAACAUCAUCCAAAAUACCAGUUACCUACCAAACUGUACAUAUACUUGUAUUUGAUAUAGUGUCUACAAUUUUAAUGGGCGAAGAGCACAGUAGGAUUGUCAUCCUUUUCGUAACGGGACGCGAUCCGUAUUUCUGUAGGUCCGACAGUAACGCCUAUUACACACAUAUAAACAUUUAGUGUAACGAUAAUUACGAAACUCAAACACAAGAUUUGUUAAGGUCAGCUAAAUUGUGGCGGGACAUCACCCAUAUUGAUGUCACAAAGAGCUAGAGUGCUUCUUGUGCAGCAUCACACUCUUGAGUUCUUCAGUCAGAACCAUUGCAGAAGAGAGAGAGAAAGCAAAUAGGAUUGUCUCCUAACAAGAGUUUGGAAACUAAAGCUUUUCAAGAUUAAAAGGAAAAUAUUAACAAGCAAAUAAAGGAAAACAUGGGGCAGACUUUGUUCAGACAAAGAAGAUCAAAGGUGAAUCAGCUCAACAAUUCUUCAUCUUCUGAUUCUUCGAAUGAAGAAAUACCACAGACCGUGGCUAGAGAGACAGAGAACCUCGAUAGCAUCUUGGAUGAAGACAACAUGCUGUCGAUUGAGAAACAGUCGCUGAUUAACGCAAAUGAGGAGCUGAAGAUCAAAGUAAUGGAUGCAGAAAAAGCUGCACUUGAGAAAGACGAGGAAUUAAAAAAACUGUUUGAUGUAAACAGAACUUUAAAAGAUGAUAACACAUUGAAACAGAAAAACACUGCACUGGAGUGCAGUGAUUUCCUCUGCCUUGGAAGAGGAAAAAGAUACAUUGAAAGGGGAAAUCACUGCACUGGAGCAGAAAAACACCGCACUACAUCAGGAAAACGGCAUUUUAAAACGGCAAAAAACCAUCUCGGAGGAGGAAACCGCCACUCAAAUCAACACGCUGGAGCGGAUAAUUUCCUCUAUAGACCAGGAAAACAACGAGCAGAGGCAGAUAAUAUCCGCAUUAGGAGAGGGAAACAACACUCAGAGGGAGAGACUCUCUCAUUCAGCGCGGGUAAAUCGCGUCCUGGAGCGACGAAUAAACCGUUUGGAACAGCAAAACUCUGAUCAUGAGCAGGAAAACAGAGACUUGGAUCACACCCUGAAUUUGAGAAGAAGGCAACAGGAGCAGGAAAAAAACCACCCAUCUGCUAGCCCUCACUACUCUGGAGGUGAAAAAUACUGCCCUGGAGGAUGAAAAGGCCGCACUGGACAACGAAAAAACCACUCUGGAAGAGGAAAACACCGUCCUGGAGCAGAGAAUAACCCUCUUGGAGCAGAAAAACAAAACUUUGGAGCUGAAAAAUGCCACCCUAGAGCAGGGAAACAGCGCUCUGAAGCAGGACAACAGCGCUCUGAAGCAGGACAACAGUGCUCUGGAACAGGUAAACAGCGCUCUGAAGCAGCUGAACAGUUCUCUGAAGCAGGAGAACAGCGCUCUGAAGCAGGACAACAGCGCUCUGGAGCAGAAGAACACCACCUUUGAGCAGGAAAACACUAACCUGCAGCUUGAAGUGGAACAGCUGAACAAAUGGCUGAGGGACAGAAUGGAAGAGCAGAACCAGCAGCAAUCUGAACAGGAAAAGCACAAAGACAACCAGUUGGUUUCAGACCAGCCACAGAAUCAGCUGACUGUAUUCAGACGUCUGAUCAGAGGCACCUGGAAUAUACUUCUCAAAAUGUACCUAACAGGCACUCUCAGGUUUUGGAUUGAAAUAUGGUACUUCUAAAGAAAGAAGUGUCAUGACGGCUCCAAGCUUCAUGGUUGAUUAUCGGUGGCCUCCAGGGCUUCAUAGCAAGUCCCGUUGGUCUGCAGGUGACCUCAAGGGCUUCGUAGAGAGUCCUGUCGGUCUCCGGGCUGACCUCCAGGGCUUAGUAUUGAGUCUUGUUGGUCUCCUGGGCUGACUUCCAGGGCUUCGCAGCGAGUCCUGUUGGUCUCCGGGCUGACCUCCAGGGCUUCGUAUUGAGUCCUGUCGGUCUCCUGUUCUGGCCUCCCGGCCUUUGUAGCGAGUCUUGUCGGUCUCCAGGCCUACCUCCGGGGCUUCAUAGCGAGUCCCGUUGGUCUCCCGGCUGACCUCCAGGGCUUCAUAGUGCGUCUCGUUGGUCUCCGGGCUAACUUCCAGGGCUUUGUUGCGGGUCCCAUUGGCCUCCUGGUUCCCGUUCUGCUGCCAGCAUCCACCAAGGUUUCUACUCUGCUGCCGACAUCCUUGUGCUCUUCCUGUUUCUCCAGUUUGUCUUUGUUUUGCUUUUUUUUGUUCUCUAAUGUUUUACCUCCUCCAAUCCCUCUGAUUGAAGCCGUUUCCUCCCAUGGGUUGAAUACGCUCACAAUAGUCAUAUCUCUGCAGCCACUGGUUUCUCUCCUUUCGAAGUCUCUCUAGGUUACCAGCCACAAUUGCUCUCCUCUCAUGAGAACAACAUUGCUGUCACAUCUGUACAACAUCACAUUGCCGCUGCAAGAACAUCUGGAAAACCAUCAUCGAUGCCCUCAAUAACACCUCCACCCAGAACAAGCGCCUCCCUGACCGGAGACGGACCCAGGCUCCCACCUACACUCCUGGCCAGAAGUCUGCUUCCACUCCCUCCACUCACAUCUGCUCAUCAGCCCAUGUCCUGGACAGCAGCGCAUUUGGUAGCACUGUUGCCUUGCAGCAAGAAGGUCCUGGGUUCGCCCAAGACGUGGAUGGGCAUCCUGCCUACACUGUCCGCUGGAUCGUGGACUGCUGUCGGCUGGCAGUAUCUCGUCGACUGGGAGGGCCACGGUCCGGAGGAUCACUCAUGGGUCCCAGGUUUUUUUAUUCUUGACGCUUCUCUGAUUGAGGAUAAUCGUUCUUCGCUCCCUUCUUGUUUGUCUCGGCCGCCAGGUGGCGACCGUUGGGGUGGGGGCUGGGGAGGUACUGUUGGGAACCGGGGUUUUUGUUCCCUUUUGUGGAUUUUUUCUGUUCUCUCUGUUGGUCUGUGGCUCCUCCCUUCAUCCACCAGAUGGCACCAGAGGCUGUUUUCUGUGGUUCAAGCACACCUGUGUUUCAUCAUCCAAUCAUAGUGAGGCUUAAGAGGAGCUGACUGUCUGCACUUCAUUGCCUGAGUGUACUCUGAGCUUUAUCCGAGAAGAACUCUUUGUGAUCACUCUUGAUGCUUCCCUGUUCUCAGGUUUUUCCUCAUGAUGCCAAGUAUUCUCCUCGAGAAGACCUCGUUCUGGCUUUCUGGAUUUCCCCUCCUCGUGACGCCGUGGAUUAUUACUCACUGGUUGCCCGAGUCCCACCUUUUCCUCCUCCGUUUGAUCACAAACUGCUCCUGGACUCUCCAGCUGGCAGUUGGACUGCUCCUCUGUCUUCCUCCACGCCUGAACUUACCUGUCCGCCCUCCACCGCAGCCUCUACAUUUCCACACGGAACCUCUCUGAUUGAGCCACUCUCUGGAACCCGGUUCACCUUCUAGACCCACACAAAGGAUUCAUAAUCCCGAGCCCUCGGUCAACUCUCUCCCCAAAGGAAUGUUCCAUCAUUACAAUGUACCGACGACUUCUGAACCUGCCCCAGGGAUUAUUCUCACCUGACCUCUCUUGCCUUAUUGUAUUAAUAAACAUCCUCUUAACUAAU